rnacentral:rRNA from 1 species
ACUCCUACUGGAGGCAGCAGUGGGGAAUUUUCCGCAAUGGGCGAAAGCCUGACGGAGCAAUACCGCGUGAGGGAAGACUGCCUAUGGGUUGUAAACCUCUUUUUUCAGGGAGGAAUAAAAUGACGUGUACCUGAAGAAUAAGCAUCGGCUAACUCCGUGCCAGCAGCCGCGGUAAUAC